rnacentral:rRNA from 1 species
UACGUAGGGUGCGAGCGCUAAUCGGAAUUACUGGGCGUAAAGCGUGCGCAGGCGGUUUUGUAAGCCAGAUGUGAAAGCCCCGGGCUUAACCUGGGAAUGGCAUUUGGGACUGCAAGGCUGGAGUUUGGCAGAGGAGACUGGAAUUCCUGGUGUAGCAGUGAAAUGCGUAGAUAUCAGGAGGAAUACCGAUGGCGAAGGCAGGUCUCUGGGCUAUAACUGACGCUCAUGCACGAAAGCGUGGGGAGCAAACAGG